rnacentral:rRNA from 1 species
GCCGAAUUCGAUAAGAGCUUGCUCUUAUGAAGUUAGCGGCGGACGGGUGAGUAACACGUGGGUAACCUGCCCAUAAGACUGGGAUAACUCCGGGAAACCGGGGCUAAUACCGGAUAACAUUUUGAACCGCAUGGUUCGAAAUUGAAAGGCGGCUUCGGCUGUCACUUAUGGAUGGACCCGCGUCGCAUUAGCUAGUUGGUGAGGUAAACGGCUCACCAAGGCAACGAUGCGUAGCCGACCUGAGAGGGUGAUCGGCCACACUGGGACUGGGACACGGCCCAGACUCCUACGGGAGGCAGCAGUAGGGAAUCUUCCGCAAUGGACGAAAGUCUGACGGAGCAACGCCGCGUGAGUGGAUGAAGCUUCGGAUCGUAAAGCUCUGUUGUUAGGGAAGAACAAGUACCGUUCGAAUAGGGCGGGUACCUUGACGGUACCUAACCAGAAAGCCACGGCUAACUACGUGCCAGCAGCCGCGGUAAUACGUAGGUGGCAAGCGUUGUCCGGAAUU